ensembl:snRNA U6 U6 spliceosomal RNA
UUGCUGCAGCAGCACAUAUAUAAAAAUUUGAACGAUUCAGAGAUUAGCAUGACCCCUGUAUAAGGAUGACCCAGUUAGAAUGUUUUUUUUUUUUU